UUCGCAAUGCCCGAAAGGGUGACGAAGCGACGCCGCGUGUGGGAAGAAGGCCUUCGGGUUGUAAACCACUGUCGGGAGUUAAGAAAUGUAAGGGUGUUAAUAGCGCCUUUGCUUGACUAAGGCUCCGGAGGAAGCCACGGCUAACUCUGUGCCAGCAGCCGCGGUAAUACAGAGGCGGCAAGCGUUGUUCGGAAUUAUUGGGCGUAAAGAGCACGUAGGCGGCUGUGUAAGUCGGUUGUGAAAGCCUUCUGCUUAACGGAAGAACAGCAUCCGAUACUGCAUAGCUCGAGUGCGGGAGGGGAGAGUGGAACUUCUGGUGGAGCGGUGAAAUGCGUAGAUAUCAGAAGGAACGCCGGCGGCGAAAGCGACUCUCUGGCCCGUAACUGACGCUGAGUGUGCGAAAGCUAGGGGGGCAAACGGGAUUAGAUACCCCGGUAGUCCUAGCCGUAAACGAUGGGCACUAAGUAGAGGGGUUUU
rnacentral:rRNA from 1 species